CCGACUAGUUCCGGGUUCGAGUCC
rnacentral:tRNA from 2 species